CGAAAAAUAAAUUUUUUUAUUUAUACCUACAAUAAAAAAAAAAAAAAAAUGAGUUGAUACUGCUAAUAGAUACACAACAAUAAAUCUUUGCUAACGAAAUGCGAUUCUGAGCGAAGUUCGAUUGCACAUUUUCCGAGAUGCUGUUUUUUACGAUUAUUUUCAACAUUUGAUCUUAAAACGGUUACACAAUAAAAAAACCUUCUUCCCUCUUUAGUUAUUCUCCCAAUGGCGAUGUUGUUUCCGGGUCGUUGUGCGACUUU